ensembl:miRNA
CCAGCCACGCCCCCUUAUCACUUUUCCAGCCAGCUUCGUGAUGCUCAGUGUUGGACGGAGAACUGAUAAGGGUGGGUGACUGA